AGAGAGAGUGUUUUACAUGAGCGACACACGCUUCAGUGCUCUGCAUGUGUUUAUAACUCUGUCAAACAUCAAACAUGAUCAACAACUGUUUUUCACUAGAACUGAACCUACAACCAACAAAAAUGACUUUCAGCACCAUAUUGAUCUGGACGCUGGCAGUAUUAUGUCGAGAAUCUGUUGGUCAGGUGACAGUGACUCAAACUCCCUCAGAGCUGCUCUCUCAAACUGGACAAUCAGUCACUGUGACCUGUAAAACUAGCAGUGAUGUGAACUGCUGUUAUAGUAAUGGACAACCCGGUCUGAGCUGGUACUUACAGAAACCUGGAGAAGCUCCAAAACUUCUGAUUUAUUAUACAAACAGCCGCCAGUCAGGAACUCCAUCUAGAUUCAGUGGCAGUAAAUCAUCUGGAAAGGAAUUCACUCUGACCAUCAGUGGAGUCCAGACUGAAGAUGCUGGACAUUAUUACUGUCAGAGUUAUCACAGUGGUGGUGUGUUCACACAGUGA